CCUACGGGUGUCUGCAGUGAGGAAUAUUGGUCAAUGGGCGCUAGCCUGAACCAGCCAAGUAGCGUGAAGGAUGACUGCCCUAUGGGUUGUAAACUUCUUUUAUAUGGGAAUAAAGUGCAGUAUGUAUACUGCUUUGCAUGUACCUUAUGAAUAAGGAUCGGCUAACUCCGUGCCAGCAGCCGCGGUAAUACGGAGGAUCCGAGCGUUAUCCGGAUUUAUUGGGUUUAAAGGGAGCGUAGGCGGGUUGUUAAGUCAGUUGUGAAAGUUUGCGGCUCAACCGUAAAAUUGCAGUUGAUACUGGCAUCCUUGAGUACAGUAGAGGUAGGCGGAAUGUGUAGUGUAGCGGUGAAAUGCAUAGAUAUUACACAGAACACCGAUUGCGAAGGCAGCUUGCUAGGCCGGAUCUGACACUGAUGCACGAAAGCGUGGGGAUCGAACAGGAUUAGAUACCCGAGUAGUC
rnacentral:rRNA from 1 species